AUUGAACGCUGGCGGCAGGCCUAACACAUGCAAGUCGAGCGAGCGGCGGACGGGUGAGUAAUGUCUGGGAAACUGCCUGAUGGAGGGGGAUAACUACUGGAAACGGUAGCUAAUACCGCAUACAAUCAGAUGUGCCCAGAUGGGAUUAGCUGGUAGGUGGGGUAACGGCUCACGUAGGCGACGAUCCCUAGCUGGUCUGAGCGGAUGACCAGCAUCACUGUAACGGAGACACGGUCCAGACUCCGACGGGGGGCAGCAGUGGGGAAUAUUGCACAAGGGGCGCAAGCCUAAUGCAGCCAUGCCGCGGGUGUUAAGAAGGCCUUCGGGUUGGAACGCACUUUCAGCGGGGAGGCGUUACCCGCAGAAGAGGCACCGGCUAACUCCGUGCCAGCAGCCGCGGUAAUUC
rnacentral:rRNA from 1 species